GUUCCUAUGGUCUAGUGGUUAUGACGCUUCGUUGUGGCCGCUCAAUGAUUACGUAAUAAGCGCCGAAGCAGCCUGUGUUCGAUUCACAGUAGGGACA
rnacentral:tRNA from 1 species